CGGUUAUGAUUCGCUGCUCUUCUGGGUUGAAGUUGCUGGAGUCUGAUUUGUACAGCGCGCUGGCCAAUGAAGAGCUCAGGACUGGAGUCUGUUUCUCUCGCAGGGCCCUUUGCAGGGAAACAAAUGUCGACAGCUACUUUUUGAUGCAAACUCUCCAGCCAAUGAGAGCGAGGCCCUGGCGGAGCGCAUUCUCAUCUCUCACAGUGCAAGCAAUGUCAGUUUAUGUUGUAACAUUAACUCGUAGCGUUAUGAUUAAAGUGGAAAGAAGAACUAUUUCUUAGUUUUUACACUCCUUUCGUUAAAAAUUGAAUUUUUUUUGUUUGCUUGAUGUAGAAUGUGCAGAUGCGGUGACCCCUGGUAAAUAAAUGCAAGUUUGUAUUCGUACCACUCCAAAAAAGUUGCAUAGGCAACAGCAGUAUUAUUUAUAUAAUCUCAGACAUAAUUACCAAUCCCAAGAGAAAACAGCAGACUUAAUCUUUAAUUAUUUCACAAAUAUAACACCGGGGAUAAAUCCGGAGAAAACAAAUGUUGAAUACGGACGCAGGCAGAGCUCUUGCAUUUGUGUUGCGUAGCUGGAGGGAUUUACGGGGACUUAAUUCCUUAAAACUGUCCUCUCGUCCACAUGACGCUCAAACUGCAAGUGCUCAAGCUGAUAUACCCAAACGUAUCAAGAGAUGAGUGCACCGCAUAGCCAUGGGGCUAGAUUAGGGCCUUUUAUAAGACAUGUAGAAUACACGUGAAACCAGUGUGGAGUGGCGCAACGAGGAGGUGAAUUUGGUACCUUGAAAAAUGUUCAAAACAACACGUUGCCAAUAUUCACUUCGAGAAAUGUCUAUCUGGAUUCUUCUGUGUGGGAGGAAAGCCGACUCUAUCAUAACAGCUUUAAGACUAUACAUUUAAGAUAUCCUGAGAAGUAGGGAACCUGACAAGCACCCGGGUGACUCGAGAAGCACGGACAAAUGAACUACGAUACACACAGAGAGAGGGAAAAAAACUUCAACUCUUCAAGACAAGAUAGAAAGCUUCAGUUGUGCACCUGCUAUUGUGGAAUGCCCUGCAGACGAUGACAGCCACCAUUAUCCUGGUCCAAAUGUUUUGCAAGCUCUGGUGGGCAAAAGCAAAGUGGACAUCAUCUGAUGUUAUCUUGUGUGAAUGUUUGGAGGAGCACAGUUGGAGAGGAUCAGUUUCUUUACAGUUUUAGAUUAGAGCGUCUUUAGUGUCUUUUCAGUUAUUUUGCACUUUGUUUGAUUGAUGAAAAACAAAACCAAAAAAAGAGGAUUUUCUUUUAUUAUUUUGUCUGACCGGUGAGUUACCUGUUUUUCUUUUAUAAUCUAUUGAGAUGUGAAGAUUACAUCAAAACUACAGCCAUGGUUGAAUGGACGUAAUUUAACAUGAUGGAUUACAAAUGAACCCGCUAUAAUAUUCCUCUAAAUGUUUCUCUGAUUUGACAUAAUUGUGACAGUGUUUAAAUGCGAUAACAGAGUCAUUUUUGAUGAGAGCUUGAACACUUGAAUGUGAAGGUAUAUUUGCACAGAGUAAUUACUAUGAAUAAAGGAGCUCGUUUGAUCUUU
rnacentral:lncRNA from 1 species